CUAAAGCCUGAAAGUCCAACUCUCAUCUUCUGAAUGCAACUCA
rnacentral:tRNA from 1 species